rnacentral:lncRNA from 1 species
CUGCCCACUUGUGAAACGCACUUUUGUUUUAUCUGAGUCAUACAUCGCUUUGCAGAAGUGCUAAACGAGAAAAUGCAAAUCAGUGCAACACGAAGCUGCCUAGUAUGUUGAAUAAUUCUGCAUCAUGGCAAAGAAUGGGGUGUCUUCUUUCUCCCUGUGAGAAAAAGCAGCGAAUUAAAAAGGCCGCUUUCUGAAGAAGGUGGAGAACACAAUGAGACAACGGCACAAAUGAGGGAAAGGAGGUUCCGUGUCCUCUGGUAAGAGAACCGUAAAAAAUGUUUGCAAACUAAA